rnacentral:rRNA from 1 species
UACAGAGGUCCCAAGCGUUGUUCGGAUUCAUUGGGCGUAAAGGGUGCGUAGGCGGCGCGGUAAGUCGGGUGUGAAAUCUCGGAGCUUAACUCCGAAACUGCAUUCGAUACUGCCGUGCUUGAGGACUGGAGAGGAGACUGGAAUUUACGGUGUAGCGGUGAAAUGCGUAGAUAUCGUAAGGAAGACCAGUGGCGAAGGCGGGUCUCUGGACAGUUCCUGACGCUGAGGCACGAAGGCCAGGGGAGCAAACGGGAUUAGAACC